GACGAACGCUGGCGGCGUGCUUAACACAUGCAAGUCGAACGGAAAGGCCCUGCUUUUGUGUGGUGCUCGAGUGGCGAAAGGGUGAGUAACACGUGAGUAACCUGCCCUUGACUUUGGGAUAACUUCAGGAAACUGGGGCUAAUACCGGAUAGGAGCUCCUGCUGCAUGGUGGGGGUUGGAAAGUUUCGGCGGAUGGGGAUGGACUCGCGGCUUAUCAGCUUGUUGGUGGGGUAGUGGCUUACCAAGGCUUUGACGGGUAGCCGGCCUGAGAGGGUAACCGGCCACAUUGGAACUGGGAGACGGCCCAGACUCCAACGGGAGGGAGCAGUGAGGAAUAUUACACAAUGGCCGGAAGCCUGAUGCAGCAACGCCGGGAGCGGGAUGGCGGCCUUCGGGUUGUAAACCGCUUUUUCCUUUGACGUAGAGUUAGUGACGGUAAUUGGUAAAGAAGCACCGGCUAACUACGUG
rnacentral:rRNA from 1 species